GGCUGUUCGCCAUUUAAAGAGGUACGUGAGCUGGGUUUAGAACGUCGUGAGACAGUUCGGUCCCUAUCUGCCGUGGGUGUAGGAGACUUGAUGGGAGUUGCCCCUAGUACGAGAGGACCGGGGUGAACGAACCACUGGUGGAUCUGUUGUGGCGCCAGCCGCAGUGCAGAGUAGCUACGUUCGGACAGGAUAACCGCUGAAGGCAUCUAAGCGGGAAGCCCCCCCAGAAACAAGGUCUCCCUUGAGGGCCGUGGAAGACCACCACGUCGAUAGGCUGGAGAUGUAAGCGUUGCAAGACGUUCAGUUGACCAGUACUAAUUGCCCGAUAGGCUUGAUUUGAUCCAG
rnacentral:rRNA from 1 species